CACAGCCAAUGAAAGCAAAGUGAAAACUGCUUUCCUACUUUUUAAUAUCUUGAUUUUUCUCAUCUCAGCUAGUGUCCUGGCUCUUACAAAACUGCCUUGCUCCCUUAGUAGCUUUCCAAAGACAAAGAGGAAGCUAAAGCCAAGUGGUGUUGAAAUGACAGGGGUGGCUGCAGUGAGAAUCCACGCAAACGAGACACACGAAGAUAAAGGUGACUUAAUUUUGGAAGCAAAUGAGAUCAAGAAAAUCAAUGUGUCAAAUUUGUGGGCAGUUCAGCUUCCUGUACACGCACAGAGGAAAACUGGUGACAAAUUCACAUUUCUGGAAGCAGAAAACACUGACAGACUGCCCACCUUUGAAGACUGGCCCACGUAAGAUGUCUCUGCUGUACAAGCACUAAGAAAAUCCUUCU